rnacentral:tRNA from 1 species
UCCAAGUGGUGCUAGUGGUAAAGAAUCUGCCUGUAAUGCAGGAAUCUCGGGUUCGAUCCCUGGUCUUGGAA